rnacentral:rRNA from 1 species
UGGGGAAUAUUGGACAAUGGGCGAAAGCCUGAUCCAGCCAUGCCGCGUGUGUGAAGAAGGUCUUCGGAUUGUAAAGCACUUUAAGUUGGGAGGAAGGGCAUUAACCUAAUACGUUAGUGUUUUGACGUUACAGACAGAAUAAGCACUGGCUAACUCUGUGCCAGCAGCCGCGGUAAUACAGAGGGUGCAAGCGUUAAUCGGAAUUACUGGGCGUAAAGCGCGCGUAGGUGGUUUGUUAAGUUGGAUGUGAAAUCCCCGGGCUCAACCUGGGAACUGCAUUCAAAACUGACUGACUAGAGUAUGGUAGAGGGUGGUGGAAUUUCCUGUGUAGCGGUGAAAUGCGUAGAUAUAGGAAGGAACACCAGUGGCGAAGGCGACCACCUGGACUAAUACUGACACUGAGGUGCGAAAGCGUGGGGAGCAAACA